GGCCGGUUUGGGUCGCCAGUCUGUUGGGCAAUGGAUUCCUGUCUGUUUGUAAGAGGCAGUGGAGAGUAGCAGUUUCCAGAGCGGACAUGUGUCUGAGAACACGUCCCGUAAUCAUAGCACCGGAAUGAGCCUCCAAAAAUGAAGCGGAAACCUGGCUGCUUUGAUGGUGUAAAGGAAAACGGUCCUUCCCGGUUGCACAGUGAAGACAGGAUUCCUUCUGGGAUUCAGACAGGCCCAAGAGGAGGAGAGCAUCUCUCUUCAUUUACAGCACCCCAAUCUACAC
rnacentral:lncRNA from 1 species